rnacentral:rRNA from 1 species
UAGAUGCGAGAGUAGAGCAUAUCAAUAAGCGGAGGAAAAGAAACUAACAAGGAUUCCCUUAGUAACGGCGAGUGAAGCGGGAAGAGCUCAAAUUUGAAAUCUUCAAGGUUCUACCUUGACGAAUUGUAGUUUAUAGAAGUGUUUUCUGUUAGUGGAGUGGCAAAAGUUCUUUGGAAUAGGACAUCAUAGAGGGUGAGAAUCCCGUAUUUGGUCAUUCUUUCUAGCCUUGUGAUACACUUUCAACGAGUCGGAUUGUUUGGGAAUGCAGUCCAAAAUGGGUGGUAAAUUUCAUCUAAAGCUAAAUAUUGGCGAGAGACCGAUAGCGAACAAGUACCGUGAGGGAAAGAUGAAAAGAACUUUGAAAAGAGAGUUAAACAGUACGUGAAAUUGUCAAAAGGGAAGCGUUUGACACCAGUGUUGUUUUUCCGAAAAUCAAUUACGAAUGUUUUAUCUUUGAGGAGUUAUGACUUCAUCGGCUUGCUCCUUUCUUUAUGAAACUUUCUUAAUGCACUUUUCGGUUAACAAGUCAACAUCAAUUUCUUUUGUUGUAAAAGGGUAUGAGGAAGGUGGCUUUCUUUUCGGAGAAAGUGUUUAUAGCCUUGUGCCUCUGCAAUCGGAGAGAUUGAGGUCUGCAGCGUAGAUCCUUCGGGGUUAGAUACGUUUGUGCUAAGUUAUAGCUUUUCAUAGACAACUUGUUGACUAUGUUUAGUCUUGUAGCUUACUCGCUUACGCUAUUUUACCUACGCUUAGGAUGUUGACGAGACUGUCGAUCUC